AAGUGACUCAUACUAGUAAUAGACCGAUUUUAUCGGCUGGCCGAUAUAUCGGGCCAAUAUUUGCGUUUUUACGUGUAUCGGCAUCGGCCGAUACGCGGUUGCUGCAUUCGCCGAUAGUUUUUUCCCGGAAUUAUUUACAGACAGGUGUCCACAGGCAGCUCUGUGUUGCUGGAGAUGCUCCAGUUCACGUGCAGACCAUGCACUGCCCCUCCCCCACUAGCAGAGUGCUGGUGCUGGAAGCCUGGCAGGCUUUCAGCACCAUGGCAGUCUU